CUAACUAUCUAGACUAUAACUAGAGUUCCAUAUUUACAGAAAAUAUUGUUGAAGGUAUGUCCUAACUCUAGGGGUUGCUCUAAUAUUACAAAUGUAAGCAAUGCUCCUAACUAGAACUUCACUGGGACAGUAAGUGUUUCUGAAGAUACGUGCAUUCCUCUCCAACCAAAUGGAAUAGGACAUCUCUGCAAAUACCAUUUUGAACACAUGAGCUUGGGGAGAUUUGCCUUUAGACUUCUCAGUGAUCCAGCUAACAUAUUGAGGCCAAGACUGUCCAGGAGGUUGAGACAUGCCAAGCCAUUGCAGAAUGAGAUGUCUCAGUUGUUCAACAAAGGGGCAGUACAGCAAAGGGGCAGUACAGGAACAAAUGAUCUCUAGUCUCCAUUGUGUGUUGACACAUAACACNNNN
rnacentral:lncRNA from 1 species